rnacentral:rRNA from 1 species
GACGAACGCUGGCGGCGUGCUUAACACAUGCAAGUCGAACGGAAAGGCCCUGCUUUUGUGGGGUGCUCGAGUGGCGAACGGGUGAGUAACACGUGAGUAACCUGCCCUUGACUUUGGGAUAACUUCAGGAAACUGGGGCUAAUACCGGAUAGGAGCUCCUGCUGCAUGGUGGGGGUUGGAAAGUUUCGGCGGUUGGGGAUGGACUCGCGGCUUAUCCGCUUGUUGGUGGGGUAGGGGCUUACCAAGGCUUUGACGGGUAGCCGGCCUGAGAGGGUGACCGGCCACAUUGGGACUGAGAUACGGCCCAGACUCCUACGGGAGGCAGCAGUGGGGAAUAUUGCACAAUGGGCGGAAGCCUGAUGCAGCAACGCCGCGUGCGGGAUGACGGCCUUCGGGUUGUAAACCGCUUUCGCCUGUGACGAAGCGUGAGUGACGGUAAUGGGUAAAGAAGCACCGGCUAACUACGUG